GUCAUAAAUGAUGAUGAGAUGGUGCACUUUAUCCUUACUGGUCUUGAUUAUGAUUAUAAUCCAUUUGUUUCUUCGAUUAUUGGCCAAGUUGGAUCUAUUUCCUUGAGUGAUUUGUAUGCACAGCUGCUGUCUUAUGAUC